CAUGUAUGUAUUUGUGAGUAAAACCUGUAGUGGAAAGCACAACCAUUCUCUUUCAGUUCUCAUUUAAAUUAAGCAGCCCACAACAUUCUUGUUAUUAAUUAUAUUAAAAACCCCCACAUCAUGUCAAAUAAUCAGUACAACUCCGAAUAAAACAAUCAUGCCAAAAUCAGUACAACUCAAAAUCAGUACCACUGAAAAAUCAGUAACAAGUACAACUGAAAAAUCAAAAUAAAACACCAAAAUCAUGCCAAAUAAUCUCCAGGAACAAUUCAAAUCUUCAGAAAAUAAACAAGCACAUACCAGGAAUUUUAUGAAGAACCCUAGUUUGGUAGCAGACCCCACGCACAAAGCAAUUCAGAGAGCAAUUCAGAGAACCCGGAAAACCCACAAAGCAAACCCAGCGAUUCAGAGAAGUAGUGUAGAACUCAGAUUGCAGCAGACCAAGAGAUUCCGAUUCAGAGCUUGAAAGCAAACCAAGAGAUUCCAAUUGAGAUUGAGCAAACCCACAAACUUGAUAAACCUGUCGAGAGAUUGAGAGAGAUUCGAGAGCAGAUGAUAACCCAGCGAUUCAGAUUGAGAUUCNGAUUGAGAUUCCGAUGGAUUGUGGAUUGUGGAUUGAGCAGCGCGCGAUUCCGAUGAGAGAGCAAAGAUUGAGAGAGCAAUUGAGAUUUUGAUGUCUGAGAAGGAAAAUAAAAC
rnacentral:lncRNA from 1 species